rnacentral:sRNA from 1 species
GUUUCAAUUCCUCAUAGGCAGGCUAUCGGCGGGGAUGAAAGCGGGACCCCGAGUUGAGAAAGGAAUG